GGUCACAUUCCGUUAAAACAACGGUUCCCUUACGUCCACCGAAGUUAAGGAAUGUCGAGCCUAGUCAGUACCUACAUGGGCGACCGCUUGGGAUUACCAGGUGUUGUAAG